rnacentral:rRNA from 1 species
GUAACGGCGAGUGAAGCGGCAACAGCUCAAAUUUGAAAUCUGGCUCUUUUAUAGAGGGUCCGAGUUGUAAUUUGCAGAGGAUGCUUUUGGCAUGGUACCUUCCGAGUUCCCUGGAACGGGACGCCAUAGAGGGUGAGAGCCCCGUCUAGUUGGAUACCUAAGCCUCUAUAAAGCUCCUUCGACGAGUCGAGUAGUUUGGGAAUGCUGCUCAAAUUGGGAGGUAUAUGUCUUCUAAAGCUAAAUACCGGCCAGAGACCGAUAGCGCACAAGUAGAGUGAUCGAAAGAUGAAAAGCACUUUGAAAAGAGGGUUAAAUAGUACGUGAAAUUGCUGAAAGGGAAGCGCUUAUAACUAGACGUAGGAAUUUCCAAUCACCUAGUGUUUUUUUUACUGGGGUACUUGGAAUUUUCUAGGCCAGCAUCGGUUCACCAUAAGAAAUAAAGACGCCUGGAACGUAGCCCCUCUUGGGGGGUGUUAUAGCCUAGCGUGUAAUGUCUUGUGUUAGUGGACCGAGGUCUGCGCACUGCAAUGAUGCUGGCAUAAUGGUUAUUAGUGACCCGUCUUGAAACACGGACCAAGGAGUCGUCCUCGUAUGCAAGUGUUUGGGUGUUAAAACCCGUACGCAAAAUGAAAGUGAACGUAGGUGAGAGCCUUUUUAGGUGCAUCACCGACCGAUCCUGAUGUUCUACGGAUGGAUUUGAGUAAGAGCAUACGGGGCCGGACCCGAAAGAAGGUGAACUAUGCCUGCGUAGGGUGAAGCCAGAGGAAACUCUGGUGGAGGCUCGCAGCGGUUCUGACGUGCAAAUCGAUCGUCAAACG